GAUGAACGCUGGCGGCGUGCCUAACACAUGCAAGUCGAACGGAAAGACCGUAAGAUCUUGCUCUUAUCGGUGGCGGGUGGCGGGCGGGUGACGCGUGCAUCCUGAUCUUCUUUUUCGGGGAGGAUUACGUAAGGAAGCUUACUCUAAUACAUCAUAUGCCCUACGGGUGGAAGCAGGAGAGCUUCGUAGCUUUCGCGUUUGAUUGAGCCGUAUCCGGAUUAGCUAGUUGGCUGGGUAAAGGCACACCAAGGCGACGAUCCGUAGCUGGUCUGAGAGGAUGAUCGGCCACACUGGAACUGAGACACGGUCCAGACUCCUACGGGAGGCAGCAGUGGGGAAUAUUGGACAAUGGGCGGAAGCUUGAUCCAGCCACGCCGCGUGGGUGAAGAAGGCCUUCGGGUUGUAAAGCCCUUUUGUUGGGGAAGAAAAGCUGCGGGAUAAACCACGCAUGUUCUGACGGUACCUAAAGAAUAAGCACCGGCUAACUACGUG
rnacentral:rRNA from 1 species